UGGGGAAUUUUGGACAAUGGGCGAAAGCCUGAUCCAGCAAUGCCGCGUGUGUGAAGAAGGCCUUCGGGUUGUAAACACUUUUGUCCGGAAAGAAAUCCUUGGCUCUAAUACAGUCGGGGGAUGACGGUACCGGAAGAAUAAGCACCGGCUAACUACGUGCCAGCAGCCGCGGUAAUACGUAGGGUGCAAGCGUUAAUCGGAAUUACUGGGCGUAAAGCGUGCGCAGGCGGUUUGCUAAGACCGAUGUGAAAUCCCCGGGCUCAACCUGGGAACUGCAUUGGUGACUGGCAGGCUAGAGUAUGGCAGAGGGGGGUAGAAUUCCACGUGUAGCAGUGAAAUGCGUAGAGAUGUGGAGGAAUACCGAUGGCGAAGGCAGCCCCCUGGGCCAAUACUGACGCUCAUGCACGAAAGCGUGGGGAGCAAACAGGAUUAGAUACCCUGGUAGUCCACGCCCUAAACGAUGUCAACUAGUUGUUGGGGAUUCAUUUCCUUAGUAACGUAGCUAACGCGUGAAGUUGACCGCCUGGGGAGUACGGUCGC
rnacentral:rRNA from 1 species